rnacentral:rRNA from 1 species
CGCGGCCUAUCAGCUUGUUGGGGGGGUAAUGGCCCACCAAGGCGACGACGGGUAGCUGGUCUGAGAGGAUGGCCAGCCACAUUGGGACUGAGAGACGGCCCAGACUCCUACGGGAGGCAGCAGUGGGGAAUCUUGCGCAAUGGUCUAACGACUGACGCAGCGACGCCGCGUGUGGGAGGACGCCUUUCGGGGUGUAAACCACUGUUGCCCGGGACGAACAGCCCUUUUCGAGGGGUCUGACGGUACCGGGUGAGGAAGCACCGGCUAACUCCGUGCCAGCAGCCGCGGUAAUACGGAGGGUGCAAGCGUUGUCCGGAAUCACUGGGCGUAAAGGGCGCGUAGGCGGCUCAUAAAGGCUGUGGUGAAAGUUCGGGGCUCAACCCCGAAUCGGCCGUGGCGACUUGUGGGCUGGAGCACUGUAGAGGCGGGUGGAAUUCCGGGUGUAGCGGUGGAAUGCGUAGAGAUCCGGAAGAACACCAGUGGCGAAGGCGGUCUGCUGGGGUAAUGCUGACACUGAUGCGCGACAGCGUGGGGAGCAAACAGGAUUAGAUACCCUGGUAGUCCACGCCGUAAACGAUGGGCACUAGAUGCUUGGGGGAGCGACCCCCUGAGUGUCGUCGCUAACGCAUUAAGUGCCCCGCCUGGGAGUACGGA